UUGUAGAGUGUGAAACUUUGUGUUCAGUGUCAAAGGUGAGCAGAAUCUCAUUCGUUAACUGUCAAGUGUACACUUUGACAAAAUGUAUUGUGCGUAGUAACUGUUGGGUAAAUUUGCAACAUUGUUUUUACUCAAUACCAAAGUAAAUAAGUAAGGACAGGAAUGUUCUGGAAUGUUUUCACAGAUUACAAGAGUUUAAGGAAUAUGAUGGUGUAUAUCGUAGAUAUGUGACUCAAUUUUCGAAGUGAACUUUAUUAUAAACAAAGUGUUGUAUAUUUUCACGGAAAAUGUAGACUAAAAUAAUCUUUUAUAGAUAGGCAUUUUAAUAGAAAAUCAAAUAUAGAUUUGUAACGAGACGCCCGUACUGAUGCUAGAGAAAAUGCAAACAGCGUGAACGUAUCU